UGGUUUGGUAGAUCCAACAGAGAGAGUUUGGAGCUUGGUCCCCAAAUCCUGUACUUCUGAUUUCAGGAAAGCAGCUGGUCCAUCAAUGCCUGCAGGCCAAAAUGAAAAAAAAUUCCAAAGUCUAUUUUUUUAUGGCCAAAGAUACAUCCCAGGAUGGCGGCUCUUUUCAUCUUCCCUUCCUCUAGCAUCUCUUUAAAGUACUGAAAUAUACUUGUUCAAUUUUUUUCAGAAGGCUUGGGAGGAGCCAGGUCUGACUCUGGUACAGACUGCCUAUUACUUUAAACAUAUCAGUUAUCAGUUUCUCCCCAUUUAAAUAUAGUGAUUUUAUUUACCUUUUUACAAGGGCUUAAGCAAUUACAACAAGUUGUAUUUGUCAUGCACAUUGAUAGUUUUUAAUUUAUUUACUGACACCUCCCUUAUUUUCUUUCCAUUCUUGUUGUUUGCUCCUAUGCCAGUGAGUACUCUACAGUGAACACCAAAAAUCAACUUGAUAAAAGUAUCCACAGCCACAGACAGAAAAAAACCCUCUAUCUGUUAGAAUGAAAUUUCCAUGUUUAAACCAUACAACACAGCUGUGUACCACACUUCCCAAUUGGUGGAAGCAUCUUGAUGUCAGGGUAUGGCAUAACACGUAAUAUGUAGCACACAAUGCCUAAGUGUAGUUCCAGCUUUGGAUCUCUUGUUUUCCUUCUUAAAACUGUACUUCUUUAUCUAGGCAUUGUAUUUCUGACAUGCUUACUGCUGUUAUCACUUCUUACCAGGACUUGCUUGCACUGAGGAAGCCUCAGAACUAUGAAAGGUAGUGAAUGAGCAGUUUUGUUUUCAUUUGAGCUAUACUGAAGACUUCUACCUUAAAAGUUAUACCUAUCUCUCAUUCUCUUAUUGACUUGAAAGGGCCUUUUAAUAGAAGCUUUCUUAUACCUUAUUUUAAACACAUAAAUGCUACCAUAAACAUCACCACUUUCCUUCCCAUCCUAUGAUCCUGAAAGGUAUCUGGAGAACAAGAAAAAUAUUCAAGACAGAAGGGAUAACAUAGUUCCAACUGCGAUCUUCAAACCAGCUUUAGAAGAUUUUUUUACUUUGGAUUUGUAUGUCCUCACCUUUAUAGAAGUUGCCAGCCCAUUUCUACAGUUCUUCUAGCCUAACCCAAGGGAGACAUUACUCAAGGGCAUGUGAAGAUUUACAGCUAUCACAAAAAUCAAGAUGUUCAAUUAACUACAGUUAAUACCUGAGAGAAUCUGUGUUUGCAACACCUGACAUUAACUCCUAAAGGU